CAGCCGCCGCGGGAAAACGUAGGGUGCAAGCGUUACUCGGAAUCACUGGGCGUAAAGGACGCGUAGGCGGAUUAUCAAGUCUCUUGUGAAAUCUAACGGCUUAACCGUUAAACUGCUUGGGAAACUGAUAAUCUAGAGUAAGGGAGAGGCAGAUGGAAUUCUUGGUGUAGGGGUAAAAUCCGUAGAUAUCAAGAAGAAUACCUAUUUCGAAGGCGAUCUGCUGGAACUUAACUGACGCUAAUGCGUGAAAGCGUGGGGAGCAAACAGGAUUAGAUACCCCAGUAGUCCCUGUCUCUUAUAA
rnacentral:rRNA from 1 species